AUGGGAAACAGAGCACCUUAUGCUGUUUCAUUUCUCUUAAGGUUUAUCUAUGCAGUUAUGCAGAUACUUACCAAAGUUGCUUUUAACCAAGGUACAAGUACAUACGUUCUCGUUUUCUACAGGCAUUUAAUAGGUACCAUGUUCUUACUGCCCAUUGCUUUUGCAAUUGAAAGGAAAACGGCCCCGCGACUGUCAUACAAAGUCUGUCUGAAACUAUUUGUGCAUGCAUUAUAUGGGAUGUCUGCUUCCCUUAACAUAUCAUGUGUUGGCCUCAAUUAUGCUUCAGCAACUUCUGCUUCUGCAGUACUAAAUCUCCUACCAGUGUUAACUUUCUUUUUGGCUCUUCUGUUGGGAAUGGAGUCUUUGCAAUUAAAGAGCUUCCAUGGGAUUGUGAAAGUUUCUGGUAUAGUGAUUUGUGCGGCUGGUGUUACUGUACUAGCGUUAUACCAAGGACCGGAGCUCAAAUCUAUCGUCCAUCACCCUAUUUUUCGUCACCCAAGUCGAGUUGAUACACAUCCCUCAAGGAGCUGGAUAUUGGGAAUUCUCCUGCAGUCUCUUGCGACUGUAAUGUUUGCCCUUUGGACAGUGUUUCAGGGCCCUUUGCUGGAGGAGUAUCCGUCCAUGCUGCUUAACACGAGCCUUCAGAUUGUCUUUGCGACUGUUCAAUCAUUUUUUAUGGCUCUAGUGAUGGAGAGAGACUUUUCAAGAUGGAAGUUGGGAUUGGAUGUAGGUCUUGUGGCGAUCAUCUAUUGUGGCGUACUUGUUACUACAUUGGCAAACUACCUGCAAAUCUGGGUGAUUGGUAGGUGCGGCCCAGUAUUCCUGGCCAUGACAGUACCCCUAACUUUGGUUAUCACAAUCAUUCUAUCACUUCUCAUAGGAGAAGCUGUUACCCUUGGAAGUGUAAUAAGUGGCGCGCUCAUGGUUGCUGGCCUGUACAAUGUUCUCUGGGGGAAGAGAAUAGAGCAAGUAGCUCUCUGCAAGCAAGGAGGUAGCGGAGAAAAUGGAUCAUGCUUAGAUUUGGAGGAACAAGAAAGCGGUGUGCCAGUUCCAGCAACGCGGGAUUCAAUCAAGCCAGUGCCAGGUUCGAAAGAGAGAACUGAUACAUCAAACUGA
rnacentral:rRNA from 1 species